UCUUUAUAAAAAUUAUAUUUUAAGUUUUAAAUUAUAUGAUCAUAAAAUAUAAAAUAUAUUUUUAUUUCGUUGGGGCGACGCAGAUAUCUAAAUAAACUGUCUAUAAAAUAAAUACAAUAAUAAUUGUUUAAUAUAGUUGAUCCUUUAAUAGAUUAAAAGAUUAAGAU
rnacentral:rRNA from 1 species